CAUCUUCCCCAUAUUUGUAACUCUCCGAUCACUCCAUAUUGUCUUCUCUGAGCAAACCCUAAUUUCAAAGAAAAGAAAAUGACACUGGGAAUUCAAUACGGUACCCGUUGUUGCGCCAGAAUCGUGACAAGAGACACGCUUGAGCGCAAACUUAUGUUUAUCCCCAUACUUUACUUGAGAGAGGCCAGUAUGGAGGAUCAAGAGAUUUUUCGUCUUCGUGUACCUGGUGACAAAACGUGGGAAGUUGAGGUUAAUUCUGCAUCCGAAUUCGCCAUUAUGAAAGGGGAUGGGUUUGGUGAUUUCUUAGAGUACUACAAAAUGAAGCCUGGGUUUGAGAUACAGCUGUUGUGCGUAUUUACAAAGGAUUUCAAAGUACGGAUUUAUGACAGGGAUCAUGAUGAGAUUGAGUACGCCUGAUUAAACUGCAAGGAGAAACAUGAAGAGCCUGCGCCAGUACCUCGUCUCAACCGCGAGGAGAAAGAUGAAGCGCCUGAGCCAAUAGCACAAAUACCAGCCAAUAUGGAGGAAAUACAAAACCGUUUGACUUUCUUUGUGCAUCUGAAGAAGUCAGAGUGGAGUAUUGAACAGGAGAUGCCUCAUGAAGCUAUUGCACUGUUUGGCCACGAGAGGCAGACAUUCUUACUCAGCAGGCUAACAGGCGACAACAGGCUGUUUCCGGUUGUGUAUUUUGUGAGGGUUUCUCACAGGAGGAAAGAUGGGACUGCAGUUCAUGUAGCGCACUUUGAGAAGGGCGUAGCUAAAAUGGUGAGAGCUUAUGGUUUAAAACUUGAGGACUGUUGUGUGUUUAUGCAGGUUAGUCAUAAACAAUUAAAAGUGUCCCUUUUGCGCCAUGGAGAGGAGCUUCCAUUUUGAUGUGAUCUGCAUUUCCCUUGGUUUAACGAACUCUUUAUUUUUAAUAAUUAUAUAUAUGUUUAUUAUAAUAUGAACAUUGAGAAC